rnacentral:rRNA from 1 species
ACUGAGGUAGGCGACCGGCGCACGGGUGAGUAACACGUAUGCAACCUGCCUGUAAGCGGGGAAGUAACCCGUUGAAAGACGGACUAAUACCGCAUAAUACUAAAUUACUGCAUGGUAAUUUAUUUAACAUUUAUGGCUUACAGAUGGGCAUGCGCAUGAUUAGCUAGUUGGAGAGGUAACGGCUCCCCAAGGCAACGAUCAUUAGGGGUUCUGAGAGGAAGGUCCCCCACACUGGUACUGAGACACGGACCAGACUCCUACGGGAGGCAGCAGUGAGGAAUAUUGGUCAAUGGACGAGAGUCUGAACCAGCCAAGUCGCGUGCAGGAAGAAUGUCCUAUGGAUUGUAAACUGCUUUUGCAGGGGAAUAAAGUGCAUCACGUGUGAUGUUUUGUAUGUACUCUGCGAAUAAGGAUCGGCUAACUCCGUGCCAGCCGCGGC